GCGGGCGUGGUGGAAUGGUAGACACGCUGGUCUUAGAAGCCAGUGCCAAAAGCGUGAAGGUUCAAGUCCUUUCGCCCGCACCA
rnacentral:tRNA from 1 species